rnacentral:rRNA from 1 species
AUGGAUAGUUCAAUGUGCUCAUCAGCGCCUGCGCCUGGCGUAACAGCUCCUGGUGCAACAACAAGUACUAGCUUAACGUGGGGAGGCGGCGAGUUAGUAGCAGUAGGUGGCAAAGUGGCUUUGUUACCUAUUCCAUUAGGAACCGCAGAUUUUUUAGUCAGAGAGCUAUCUCUCGAGCACAGGUUGAGGUUCAUCCUCAAUGGGAAAAUGGAGCACCUAACAACGCAUCUUCACAGACCAAGAACUACGAGAUUACCCCUUUCAUUCUGGGGUGACGGAGGGAUACCCAAUAAGCAUAAGCAUUAG